GACGAACGCUGGCGGCGUGCCUAAUACAUGCAAGUAGAACGCACAGUUUAUACCGUAGCUUGCUACACCAUAGACUGUGAGUUGCGAACGGGUGAGUCACGCGUAGGUAACCUGCCUGGUAGCGGGGGAUAACUAUUGGAAACGAUAGCUAAUACCGCAUAAUAUUGAUUAUUGCAUGAUAAUUGAUUGAAAGAUGCUAUUGCAUCACUACCAGAUGGACCUGCGUUGUAUUAGCUAGUAGGUGAGGUAACGGCUCACCUAGGCGACGAUACAUAGCCGACCUGAGAGGGUGAUCGGCCACACUGGGACUGAGACACGGCCCAGACUCCUACGGGAGGCAGCAGUAGGGAAUCUUCGGCAAUGGACGAAAGUCUGACCGAGCAACGCCGCGUGAGUGAAGAAGGUUUUCGGAUCGGAAAGCUCUGUUGUAAGAGAAGAACGGGUGUGAGAGUGGAAAGUUCACACUGUGACGGUAUCUUACCAGAAAGGGACGGCUAACUACGUG
rnacentral:rRNA from 1 species